rnacentral:rRNA from 1 species
UACGUAGGCAGCAAGCGUUGUUCGGAGUUACUGGGCGUAAAGGGUGUGUAGGCGGUUCUUUAAGUUUGAUGUGAAAUCUCCCGGCUUAACCGGGAGGGUUCGGUGAAUACUGAGGGACUAGAGUACGGGAGAGGAAAGUGGAAUUCCUGGUGUAGCGGUGAAAUGCGUAGAUAUCAGGAGGAACACCGGUGGUGGAGACGGCUUUCUGGACCGACACUGACGCUGAGACACGAAAGCGUGGGGAGCAAACAGG